rnacentral:lncRNA from 1 species
AUGCAUUUUUGUCUGUUUCCCUUUUUCUUCAUUUUUGCCUUCUCUAUCUUCUUUUCUUUCUUUCCUUUUUUUCCCCCCCCAAACAUUGUUACAGGUGAUCAAAGCCCUACCAGUCCAGCCCCGUGGUGGUCGGGUGCUAAUUAUGGUAACAGAACUCUAGACAACCGUCGUGCAGUCCUGGAAAGAUCUCGCUCACGGCACAACGCAAAUCACCAAGCUCGAUGAUCACCCGCGCCUACUAUAAGACGCUAGAUAAGUGCCAAAGAGGGCUGCGAGGAGGAGACCUAGAAGACAUCUGAAGGAGGGACAGACCACCCCUUACUGUGGCACAUACACAAACUCCAAGGAAUCCCACAUACACACAGCACCAAGUACAGAACAAACAAGCCUAAAGAAACUACACAGAACUGAAGAAUCUGGCAUUUCGUUUUCAUCCAGUUCAUCAGACGCCUUACAUAUUUAUUCAAGAAUUGUUCAUCACUUUAAAUGUUUGUGUCCUCUCUAGCUGGUUUGAUAUUAAAAACAAUACAUUUUAAGGUUACUGCAGAGAAAUGAAAUGUUUUGAUUGUUUGAAAAUCCAUUUUCAUUCUUGCAAGUCUAAGCUUUCUACUUUAAUCCUUCUGUAAUCAAAAUACUUCACACUCAGAUUUGACGUGAAACAUGUAUUGAACAUUGCAGUGUACUGAAGAAAGAAAUAAUGCCAAGAAGGACUGCAGAGUUCAUUCCCGUGAACAUACCACACACCCUUUAUUUUGCAAACAAGCAGCGGGGCAGCUGUCCUCUAAAUGGAAAACAGGGAUUUAACACCCGUGUUGGCAAGCCUUCAACCUGCUGAUGUUUUCUCGAGCAGCUCACCAAGCUCUUAUCAAAGAGGGAGUAGUUGUUUAAAAUUUCUUACUGCCAGUACCUCCUUCAACCAACAUCAAGACAGUUUUCACAACAGCCAGUCGUCUCCAUAAAUCAGCUCAUUGCAUAUACCACAAAGCCACAAGAGCUGGCCCCCGUCUGUACCGAUAUUUCAGAGCUUGUGACUCAUGGAUUUUGAAACUGUAAUCUCCAUUUUGACAAGAUGCAUUUUAUUUUUAGUUGUGUAAUAUCUAACAUUGCCUUUGGGUGCUGAUCUGUCCCAAGGUCGCUUUUGCUUUUAACAUGAGAGACUGACACAUUUUUAAAUGCAUCU